rnacentral:sRNA from 1 species
GGUUCCAGUGCGAAUCUCGUCAACGACAGUUGGCUCGAGAUCGACGAAGAUGGAUCUUGGAACGUAACGGCCGGAUCCGGUGUCUGAGAAGAAAGUGGUGAACGACUCUCCCUCGUUCGUUGAUUGAGUUGGCAUG